AUGUUUGCUCUUAUAAAAAAAUAGUUGUUAUAUUGUAAAUAUUCUAUUAAAUAGUAUCGCAAGGAAACCAAUUGGUCCCGGCUGCAGAUUACGAAGAUCUAAGCCAACAAUACCUGGAAGAAUGCAAGGGACAUUAGCUUCCGAUGAAGAAAAUACUUCUGAAUACUCACAUCCUCCGUCCAGUCAGACCUCCACUUUAGAGAGUAAUCCGGAUGUUCAAAGGGUUCUUCGUAAUAUACAACAUUCCCAAAAAAGAAAGGAAAUAGACGACGCUUCUGACACAUCGAGUCAAUCGGAAACGGACGAAAUCAGUGAAGUUACAAUCGCGUCUCAACCAGCGAAUGGAACUAUGAAAAUGGAGAGCCGAGUAUAAGAGUACUGUAGUAUAAUUUUUAUAUUUGAUUUUUAUGAACGCGCUAUAUUGAUAGGUUAGAUUUAUUGCCUAAAUGAAAUUCAAUAAUUACAGCAUUCUUCAUUCUGUAACUUAUGUUAAAUAUUGUAGAUAUUCAUAUAUAUAUAUACAUACACACACAAAUAAUGACAUAUAGAUAAACGUACAUAGGACAUACAUGCAUUACGUACAUCCAUAUAUACACAUAUACUGAAAAUUAUUUAGAAGAAAUAGCAAAAACGAUUGGGAAUUCGAGACUUUACAUCUCAAUGGAAUAUUGAAGCCGCAUAGUUUUCCAAACAUUCUUCACCAAUAUGUACAAUCAAUCACAUACAUGAAUUAGUAAAAAAUUAGAUUAAUAUUGCUCAAGUUUAUUUGAGUAUACAUAAGAUUUUUUUUAUAUAUAUAUAUACCACAUGAGAUCAUGAUUCUAGAUUUAUAAUGUAAUUUUCGUCCAACAAAUCUAAAUACUGCUUCGAAGGAUGUUAUUCACAAUGUAAUAAUUGUAUCAUUCGAAAUCGCUACAUACAUCGUACAUUAUAUAUGCCUCGCAACAGUCAUUCACAUUAAUGAAUGAUAAGAUAUAUAUAAUGUCCAACAUACAUACUUCAGGAAUCGUAUAUUUAUUUUUUUCAUGAUACCUAGUAUUUUUCAUCCAUUAGUUUAAUAGUUACUUUCGAAUAAAACGCAUAUAUACGUCAUUUUUAAGUCACAAAUUUAUUUUAAACUGUGCAUACACUCAAAUUGGCAUAGAAACAAAUUUUCUAUCAAUUUAAAAUGCAGACAGUCAAAACUCUUCAAAUUCAUAUAUAUUUCCCUGCUUAUGUAUAUGUCUAUAUCAAACGAAAUUGAAAGGCAGCUGUGAAUAAUAAGAUGCUUUCAUAAUUAUGAAAGCAUCUAACUAAAGAUAUUAUGCGCGAACGUUUAAAUACAAAC